GUUUAAGCACCAUUGUGUUUUAACGUUUCAAUGUUUCAGCUUUAAUUAUCUUGGCAUUUUUGUUUCCGUUGCGUAAUUUCUAUGUUUUCCAUUUUUAUCGUCCAUUUUAAGUGACUAAUUCUGAGCUAAGGCGGUAAACUCGGUUGUUUUGUCAUAUGCAUUGUCAUGUCGUUUACUUGCAUUUGGUCACAAGCCUGAAAAUUCUGACUACGCACCGUAGUAAUUUUAUAAAAACUUUGCUGAUAUACGUUUAUCAGUUUAUCUGCUUCUCCCAACGAUGCCUCGAAUGGAUCUGACAACUAUAGUAAAACGGGAACUAUUCAAGAAACGGCUGCUUCUCCCAACGAUGCCUCGAAUGGAUCUGACAACUAUGGCGAUAUAAAGAUAGGAUCUGACAACUAUGGCGAUAAAAAGAUAAUAAUUCCUGUAUACGAAGAACUGCCAGCAGCCUUGCAAGAAAAUGACAAAUACGAAGUACUCCAAAGAAACCAAAAGACAUCUGAAUCCGUGUACAACGAACUGCUAACAACCUUACAAGAAAAUGACAAAUACGAAGUACUCCAAAGAAACAAAACAUUAGUUGCUUCGGCGUACUCAUCGCUGUCAUCGGCACCGUCAAGACUCGAACAAUAUGACAUGGUGCAAGUAA